UACGUAGGUGGCAAGCGUUGUCCGGAUUUACUGGGCGUAAAGGAUGCGUAGGCGGACAUUUAAGUCAGAUGUGAAAUACCCGAGCUUAACUUGGGUGCUGCAUUUGAAACUGGGUGUCUAGAGUGCAGGAGAGGAAAGUGGAAUUCCACGUGUAGCGGUGAAAUGCGUAGAGAUGUGGAGGAACACCAGUGGCGAAGGCGAGUCUCUGGACAUUUCCUGACGCUGAGGCACGAAAGCCAGGGGAGCAAACGGG
rnacentral:rRNA from 1 species